rnacentral:rRNA from 1 species
UACGUAGGGGGCAAGCGUUGUCCGGAAUUAUUGGGCGUAAAGCGCGCGCAGGCGGCCUUUUAAGUCUGAUGUGAAAGCCCACGGCUCAACCGUGGAAGGUCAUUGGAAACUGAAAGGCUUGAGUACAGAAGAGGAAAGCGGAAUUCCACGUGUAGCGGUGAAAUGCGUAGAGAUGUGGAGGAACACCAGUGGCGAAGGCGGCUCACUGGCCCGGUACUGACGCUGAGGUGCGAAAGCGUGGGGAGCAAACAGG